CGUAGGUAACCUGCCUGGUAGCGGGGGAUAACUAUUGGAAACGAUAGCUAAUACCGCAUAACAGUCGACAUUGCAUGAUGUUGAUUUGAAAGGGGCAAUUGCUCCACUACCAGAUGGACCUGCGUUGUAUUAGCUAGUUGGUGAGGUAACGGCUCACCAGGGCGACGAUACAUAGCCGACCUGAGAGGGUGAUCGGCCACACUGGGACUGAGACACGGCCCAG
rnacentral:rRNA from 1 species